rnacentral:lncRNA from 1 species
CAGAGAGUCCACUGCAGAUGUAAUUGAGCCUCUCAGGUGAGGAGCUUUAUUAGAGCAAAGCUGGUUAGUGUUGCAUUCCUUUUGGGGGGCGUAUUGGAGGCCCCUUUAGUAACGGCUGUGCUGCGACAUUGCGCAAGGUACCCAGCCCCCGGCAGCUGAAGAAGAAGAACACCCUUGCGGGAAUGUCAUCCGAGCGGCCCGGUGCCUGGUGGCCUGAAGCAGGUCAUCCCUUCCCUUCAGAAGCACAGGUUCCCGUUAGAGUUACUUAGGUGUCAAUGCAGGGACUUUGUACCAGGCUGCCCGGUCCCCGAGGCCCUGGCCUGUGUCUGUCUCGGUCCUUUCUGCUUCCCCACCGGUAACACGAGGCCUGGCACCCUCACCAGCCUCACCUUCAUCGGAGCAUCACCGUAGCUGGUAUUUCUGGCUACACACAGCGUGUCAGGCGCUGGCGGGGGCGGCGGGGGGGGGGGGGUUGUGGCUAAGUCCCAACCCUGGAGUCAAGCGGCAGAAGCACGUGGGCCCAGAGAAAGAGGAAGGACUGGCGUCCAAACCCUUGAAGCCACGGUCCCAGGAUCCUGAUGUCCAGCCUCUGGAUUUUCCAGCUGCUCACGUUGAGCACUUGCGCCUCAAUUCAACGGAAUUGGUGAUCCCCACUCGCCGAGUUGGCGGCACAAGCAUUAAACAUGAGGAUAAGCCCCAGACAGGUGAGCGGAGGGGCUGGUUUGCUAGACCUCGUAGAGUCUGGGAGCCAGGCUGAGAGCUGAGUGAACAAGAAGCUAGACACUUGAAAAGGGGCAGAGUCUGAAUCCACUAACGCGAAGGUCAAAAGCAAGCAGCCGAGACGGCUUCACGGGAGAGGAAUCAGAAAAGCGGUCCCCUCUGAGGGCACCGAUCUUGAUGGGGCGGGAGGGGACCCUCUGCCAGGCUGGAGGGGCUCCCUGCGCUGAAGGGCGAUGCGAUGACAUGGCUGGGGCGCCCUUCAUCGAGGUACCCCCAGUGUGAGUCAGCGAUACUGCAGGAGAACUCAUCAGAGAGAACUCGCUGGCCUUUGAGAGUUUUCCUCCCGCCAAAGCGCGGAGUUGGUUUCCCCAGCAAGCCAGGUGCCCGGGCAGGGGCUGCAGGUGGAGAAAGGCUGAGAUGACCGCUGGCCCGCUUCACGAUUCUGCUGGGGCUGGUUCAUAGGCAGUGUAGGGAUCCAUCACUCAAACCCUGAACCUAAAAAGAAAUUCCUCAGCCGUGUCCGUGAGAACUAAAUAUAGCAUCAAAUUUAUAAGGUCGUGGUUCUGACCAGCCCCGGGCUAUUUCUGACCACAGGAACAGCUUAAGUGGCGUGGCCCAUAAAAAGUUCUCUGCAAGCUCAGGCCAAAUGGUGAUCUAUUUAGGGCCAAGAGGAGACCAGGCCUUGGCAGCAGCCCCACCCCCGAGGUAGGAUCCCGAGCUGAAUGGAGGCCAUUGCUGCCAGGCGAGAACCUUCUGUCUCUUUGGAGACCAGCCUCUUAGUUAUAGGGCUUACUCAUCAGCCCCUGCCUGACUCUCCAAACUUGGAAACACCCACCGGCCCUGGCCUCCCAGGACACCCCUGUUUUCCCUGUUCUUUUUUUUUUUUUUAAGAGCUGCACCUGUAGCAUAUGCAAGUGCCCAGGCUAGGGGUCAAAUCAGAGCUGCAUCUGACGGCCACAGCCACAGCAAUGCCGGAUCCGAGCCGUGUCUGUGACCUACCCCAAAGCUCACGGCAGCCAACCCACUGAGCGAGGCCAGGGAUCAGACCCACAUCCUCACAGACACUAGUGGAGUUAAAAACACACUGAGCCACGACGGGAGCUUCCCCCAUUCUUUCCUCCUCUUGGCCAAGCACGGUGGGCUCCCCAGGACUCCUUGACAUAAGUGGCUGUAGAGUCACCUGACACGGCAGUCUUUCUUCCUGUCUAGCCCAGCCCUGGCUCCCUCCCCGAGGCCUGGCUCCCCUGCCCUCCCCCUGGACCCUUCAGAUGGGCAGAUUUCCAGUGCCCAUGCACCUUGGGCACAUUCCACAGGUUCUGUGCUGUGGUUCACCGUCUGGCAUUUCUGUCGUCUUCUGUGUUCCUGUCCUGGCUGCACCUGUCAAGGUCGGAGGUUUGGUCCAGGCCCACCUAUGAGUAGUUGCUCUGGGCAGCCUGAGCCAGAAUAGGACUCUCUGAGCCCCACUUCCCUGAUGUGUUGAGUGGACAGGUGAGACCAGAUUUCUUCCCUUAAUUUUUUUGUAGUCAAAUAAUAUUGUGAAAAAGAAUUACUUAUAUUGCCUUCCCCCCUGGUUCCUGUUAAUAUUUAGUCUCCUGGUCCUAGUUCCUGACACACAGCUUCUGAGACUUUUGUAAGCUCCUUAGUGACAGGCAUGUCUGACAGGAAGCGCCUAACCCCUGGAAUGUUCUGGGCGACAGAAGCAUCUUUGGUCCUAGUGAGGCACCUGCUGGUGAGCUCCUGGUCACCCGGAAGUCCAAGUCAUGAUAAGAAGCUUGGACAUUUCAGCCUCGCCUUCCACUUUCUGGAGAAGUGGGAGGGGGCCGGACGUUGAAUUAAUAAUCCAUGUGGCCCACGUGUUGAGGCCUCCCUAAAAAUGCCUGCGUCAUAGGGUUCGGAGAAAUCCCUGCACCAAAGGUUGGUGAAGACAUUGGUGAGCUGGGAGGGUGACACCCGUCACUGCCCAGGGACAGAGAGGCUCCUGUGCUGAGAAUCCUUCUAGACCUGAUGCUGUGUGUCUCUUUGAUCAGACCUUUCAUUUGCACCCAUUACAAUAGCCUUUGUAAUCAAUGGCAAGAGUGAGGAAUCUGGCUGCCCUGGUUACAUGAACCACUCUAGCAGGUGACAGCACCCGAGAGGAGGUCGUGGGAACCUCGACUUGGAGCUGAGACAGAAGUCUAGGGGGACCAGGGAGCCCAGCCUUUGAGAUGGCCGUGUGAAGUGGGGCAGCCCCGUGGGACUGAGCCGGUCCCCCGAGGGGUCUGCUCUGAGUCCCGUUGGUGUUGGAAGUGAGCGCGUCGCAGGACACCCAGCCUGUCUCAGCGAAUUGGUCAGUGUGAGACAGACCCUGCUCCUCUGCUGUCAGAAAUAUCACGGGCAUGAGCGUCAAGGAAAAACAAAGUGAUUUUUUUCCCCAUACAGUUAUUACGCAUUUUUAGUACCUAUCACGUGCUAAUUGUAAGAUCAGAUGCUCUUUUCUUCAUUAUCUAAUUUUGUUUCCCAGCCACCUUGCAACAUAGCUGUUGUUUCCAUUUCAGAAACGAGGUGAUGGUGAGCAGGAAGAGUAAGUCAUUUGCUCAGGGUGACCGAGUCAGAAUGCUGAGAGUAAGAGCAGCGAACUGACUAUCGCAGGCUUAGGAUUGCAGUAAACUUCUCGUGCAGAUAAUCCCCUUUCAUCCUCCCUACAGCCUGUGGUUGAGACGCCCUUGCCACCUCGUGGACCUCGGGAAGUGUGCUUUGGGGCCGGUAAGGUACAUGCCCAAGACCACGUCUUUCACCGGAGGAGCCUUAUAUCAGAGUCAGCAUUCUUUUGAGUCCAGGAUUCAUUUCUGCCACCUACGGCAUUGCAACCCUUCAUGCCCUCCGUGCAAAUCUCUCCUUAUUUAUUUAUUUAUUUAUUUUUUUAAAUCCUGAAAGAUGUUAUCCCUAGAUUCCAGCAUCUGAAUUCCAAAAUCCCUGUUACAUCCUGAGGGUAGGCUAGCUAUUUGGUAAUGGCAUAUUAGAGUAUGUUUUUCAUACUAUGUUUUCGUACUAUGUUUUCAUAUUAGACUAUGUUUUUCAUACUAUGUUUUCAUAUUACAGUAUGUUUUUCAACUUAACAUUUCAGAGAAACCAACAAAAUGCAGGCUAACUCUCUUGUAAGAAUUAAAAAAACCAAAACUCCAGCAACUCUGUCUCGGAGUUCUGUCAUCAUCCCAUUCAUAAUUGAUUCCAAACGUGCAUGAAUCUUUCAAGAUAAGUGUCUUAUUGAUUAUCCUAGAAACAAGCGAUCACUUGGCAGCCUGGGACUGGCUCGCUGCUCUCCCCUGAUUACCGUAAGCAGAGAUGUUGAGCAGGAGAAAUGUCAUUUUCUUUGGCGUGGACCUGCCAGGCAUUCUGAGGCACCGGAGUGGGGAAUAGAGGUCUCGAAGCGAGCCAGACAAAGAGGUGCUUGGUCAUGGCCUCAGCCGGGUUCCUGAGGGGCUGGAGCCCAGCGUUCAUGACUUGGCUGCUGCAGCCUCGAGCUGUUCUGGGAUCUUCUUGCCAGGAGUUCUUCCUGGGAAGUGUGCAGAUUGUCCCCGUGAAUGCCGGUUGAAGGCCGUCAGAAAAUGUGAAGUCUCUUUAAGUGACAUCCCUUUUCUGCAAGUUUACUGGUGGUUGUGUAAACCAGCCGCGCCUCCCUCUUGGAAAAGAUGAGCGUUUACCAGGAACCUAGCCCCUCCUUUCAUAGUGGUGGCAAGUCGGUAAGAUACUCACAUGGCUCUGCAGUUGGAUUCUGUUCUGUGUGUCUGCUUCCCGUGUGGCUCUGAUGGCAUUUGACCGCAGCCGUGACCCUGGCGUUGUUGCUGGCAGGUCUUGCAUGGCUGCAGGGAGGGUCAGUGUGGGUGAGACAAAUGGCGAAGUUUCCCCUGGUGACUCUUUUGCUGCAGCUGAAGGCCUUGAAAUACUCUCCGGGUGACAGUAGCCCCAAACGUGAAUGGGCUGUGGCACUUGGCAAACAGAAGGAGACCUGACUCAGGGGUUUGGGGUGCAGCUAAUGAAGAUUCAGGCCAUUGCAUUAAAUUAGCAGCUUGAUUGCCUGGGACCGCCCCUGGUGAAAGGCUUAGUUGCUAUCCUGGGGGGACAGAAUGGGGCUACUCUGUAUCACAUGAGCCUAGCUGCCAGGAAGCUCUUGCUCAGCAACCAAAUGCACCCUUUCUUGGACUCUGAAACUGAUUUCGAAGCGGCUUCAUCACGUGCUUGAAGCAGGUCAUCAAGAGGAAUGAGGCUCUCAUGCCUAGAAUCAUGGCACUUACAAAAGCCACUUACGUGACGGGUUGGUCCCUUUGUUCUGUGAGGACACAGAGGUGGCUCAGAAAAGGUGAGGUCCUUCCGUCCCCUGAGCCCUUGAGCCGUGUUCACUCCUGCUAAGGCGUCCUGGGUACUUGUUAAUCCCUUGAACACCUCACUCACUUAACAUCAAUUGAUUGAACACCUGCUGUAUACCAGCCCCCGAGCAAGGUGCUCGGCAUAAAGCGAGACAUCCAGGACAGUCCCUGUGGAGAAGGGCAGGUUUUCUUGUGGUCGUGGUUGUGGCGAUGAUGGUGGAGGACAGGGAGACCUUGGCCUUGAGGAAGACGUGACCGUUCCCUGUUGUGCCUCCCGUCUGUGUAAUUGAGUAGCUACUCAGCGCUGCCUCUUUUGGGGCUCAUGGCUGCAUAUGGACACAUUAGUUUAAUCUGACCCAUCUACCUGUACUAGGGUGCUCGAGAGAAAUAGAACAGCCGGAGAUGGAUGGAUGCAGGGAUGCAUAGAUACAUACGCGCACACACUGACAGGCAAGCAGAGGCAAUUUACUGUAGGAACUGGCUCACGUGGUCAUCGAGACCGAGAUGUCCCACUUGCUGGAGAAGGUGGACGAGCAGCAGUAUAAUUCAGCCCAAAUCCUGAAGACGUUAGCUUUUUGUGGUCCUUGGGUCCUCAGUGGCUUUGACUCCCCUCGUGUGCCCGUCGCUCGUGCCCUUGGACACUGCAAAGAAGCUACAGCAGAGAGUCUGUUGCUUAAGGGUUUCUGGUAAUGGCGUAAAGAUCACCAGUAAAUGGAUGAUAAACAGCCCCGAUUUCCUGUAAAAAUACAGACAUAUGACGGUGAAAGAGAAUUUAGAGGGUACGACGCUUCACUUUCUUUUGGCUUCCCGUAGUUUACCUGUGUCAUAACCUGUCUAUUAACUUUCUCCCCCCUUUCUUUUUUGCUAAAGACUAAGAAACAUGGGGUAUUAACCACGAUGAUGCUGCCUCUUAGCUGGAAGGUGAGAAAAAAAUGGAAAACUCUAAGGGAGAGGGUCUUCCGAUAAGGAGUUGAUACUUGUUGGAAUGUUCCAGAAUGACUUCAUGGUUCCUGACAUCCCCUACCACCCCUGAAAUCCAUAAUGAUCAGCAAAUUCUGUGCUUUCUCUGGUGUGUCAGGUACUGUGAUCGAUUCUAGGAUUACAUUAAUAUGGGAAAGACAAUUCCUGUCUUUGAGGGGAGAAACAAUAGGGGAGAAAGCUAGCAGACGCUCCGCUGAGGGGGCUGAGGGAGUCUGCUGUGUUGAAAACUCGUGUCGAGAAGUCCAUCAUGGUGUUUUGUUGGGGUGGCCGGCGACUCCGAGAUGGUGCCCAACGUCAGGCAGAGCGGAGGAAACGCCCUUACUCUAUCGUCGUUCCUUCUUCUUGGAGGAUGAAAAGGACCAUUCCAUUUGGACAAGAGUGCGUCGGACAAGGAGCAUCGAGAGCACGUGGCAUGGUUCCGGCGCGGAGGCCUUUUGAUGAAUUGCAGUGCUGUGUGCUGAGGAAAGGCAACCAACCUCUCCUGCAGCUUCUAUGUUAAGGCAGAGAGAAGCGUGUCGCGACGCAGUAACACAGUGUUAAACCCGGGGCCUCUGCAGAGAUGAGGUCUUGAGCGGGUGCCACUGACAUAAUGGCUUAGAGAAAGGAGUCGUGAGGUCGGGUGGAGUGGACCAGGGCCAAUUCUGGUAGGCUUCACUCGCAGGACCCCGCUUGCAGUAGAUCUUGGUGCAAGCCUCAGGUGGGAGACAGCCCUAGGAUGGUGCAGCGUCGCAGUGAAGAGCUCAGACCCUAGAGCUAUAGCGUUCUAGUUGCUGCGUGUGACACCUAAGACUCCUAAGCCUGGGUCUCGCCAGGGGUAAAGGGGCCUAAUAUGGCACAUGCCUGUAUCUUGGCUGAGAUGCUCUGGGUUGCCUAUAACAGGACGAUCGACUUGUGGUGGCUGGGUGUUCGAAGAGCUGGACUGUCCUGGUCUGGCUCCACUUGCCUGAGGUUCUCUAUCAGCUUCUUCCUCAGCUGGCGUUCCCACCACAUUCCGGGAUGGCAGCAGAAACUCCCAACACCGUAACCAGAGGGCAUAACGCUGGAAGGAAAGGAGACCUUUCCCCAGAGCCCCUCAGCAGUCUUAUGCUGACAUCUCAUUGGGCAGAAUUACAUCCAAUGCCUUGAUCUCCGGAAACAUCUGGACCCAUCAUGAUUGGGCGCUUAGGCCACUGAAGGUUCAUAGUCCAGUUUUAGUCACAUGGUGGAGGAGGCAUGGCUGACCAAGAUCGGGCUUGGCCAUCAAGGGAGAAAAGGAGAACAGAUACUGGGUGGAUGCCCAGGCGUCUGUUUCAGGACCUCAUAGGGUUAUGAGAAUCCAUGAAAACUGUGCCUGUCAGAGGGUUGCUCCAGUGCCUGGCACGUAGUCACAACUCACCAGAACUCAGCAGGCGUGAUCGCAGUGAGUGACAGCAGUGCUGGGAAGUAGGGGCAUGAAAGCUUCUUGUCCACUUUUGCAAAGACCUUGUUCCUGUCAUGUCCUGUAGCCAGCAGAGCUUUCCUUGGCCCCGCCGGUCUCUGCACUCACCUUUCUCUGACUUUCGUCUCUGACACCUGAGUCCCAGUUUUGUUAUAGUUAUUAGGAGACAGUGAUAUGUUAGAAGGACAAUGCAUUUGGAGUUCCCUGGUGGCCCAGUGGGUUAAGGAGCCAGUGUUGUCACUGCUGGGGCUCGGGUCACUGAGGGUUCGAUCUGGGGCCUGGGAACUUGUGCACGCCAUGGGCAUGGCCCCAAAAAAUUACAGUGAAAGAAAGAUACACUUCACAUCAAUUGGUUUUGAAUUUAGGGCUUCACCCUCUAUCAUCUCUGUCAUCUCAGAUGAGUUUCUCAAGUUGGCUGAGCCUCAGUUUACCAAGCUAUUUGAUGGGGACGGCCACAUCACUUUUUUCUUCAAACAGCCACUGCAGGCACCUCACGCAGUCCCUCCCUGCCUUCUGAAAAUAGAGCCUGAGCUACUUUGUUUGAGGGUAGGGUGGGGGUAUUUACCUGGUGCAAACAGAGGGAGCACUGAAGUGGCACCGAGGCAGUCGGCACAGCCCCCACGAACUUCUCCCUGUGCGUCUAGUUCCCUAGAAAACCGCCCCUGACCGCCCACUGUUCAGACUUGCUCAGGUGACUAUAACCACCGGUGUUGGUAACAAUGCGCCUAUCGACUCCUCAUUUCAGUAGAUAUCCAGAUUUAUUAUCCCUCAAGGUAAGUAUCGAUUUUACCUUUGUCUCAGUCAAUAUUUACCUCUGAGGUCAAUACGCGCAGAUAUCCACCUCAGCUGCAGUCAGCAUCCACUGCGUGUUACAGUGUGUGAUGUACACAUGAGAAAAUCAACACCACCAUG